CGAAAGCCUGACGGAGCAAUACCGCGUGAGGGAGGAAGGCUCUUGGGUCGUAAACCUCUUUUCUCAAGGAAGAUAAUGACGGUACUUGAGGAAUAAGCAUCGGCUAACUCCGUGCCAGCAGCCGCGGUAAUACGGAGGAUGCAAGCGUUAUCCGGAAUGAUUGGGCGUAAGGAGUCCGUAGGUGGUAGUUCAAGUCUGUGGUUAAAGCGUGGAGCUUAACUCCAUAAAGGCCAUGGAAACUGAACAACUAGAGUGAGGUAGGGGUAGAGGGAAUUCUCGGUGUAGCGGUGAAAUGCGUAGAUAUCGGGAAGAACACCGGUGGCGAAAGCGCUCUACUGGACCUUAACUGACACUGAGGGACGAAAGCUAGGGGAGCG
rnacentral:rRNA from 1 species